rnacentral:rRNA from 1 species
UGCCAGCCGCCGCGGUAAUACAUAGGGGUCAAGCGUUGUCCGGAUUUAUUGGGCGUAAAGCGUGCGUAGGCGGACUAUUAAGUCUGAUGUGAAAUCCCUCGGCUCAACCGAGGACCUGCAUUGGAUACUGGUAGUCUUGAGUCCCGGAGAGGAUAGCGGAAUUCCUAGUGUAGAGGUGAAAUUCGUAGAUAUUAGGAGGAACACCAGUGGCGAAAGCGGCUAUCUGGACGGUGACUGACGCUGAGGCACGAAAGCAUAGGUAGCAAACAGGAUUAGAUA